UACGUAGGCAGCAAGCGUUGUUCGGAAUUACUGGGCGUAAAGGGCGCGUAGGCGGCGACUCAAGUUAGAUGUGAAAGUCCUGGGCUUAACCUGGGGACUGCAUUUGAUACUGGGUUGCUUGAAUUCGGGAGAGGAUAGCGGAAUUCCCAGUGUAGAGGUGAAAUUCGUAGAUAUUGGGAAGAACACCGGUUGCGAAGGCGGCUAUCUGGACCGACAUUGACGCUUGGGCCCCAAAGCGUGGGGAGCAAACAGG
rnacentral:rRNA from 1 species